rnacentral:rRNA from 1 species
UACGGGGGGGGCAAGCGUUGUUCGGAAUUACUGGGCGUAAAGGGCUCGUAGGCGGCCAACUAAGUCAUACGUGAAAUCCCUCGGCUUAACCGGGGAACUGCGUCUGAUACUGGAUGGCUUGAGUUCGGGAGAGGGAUGCGGAAUUCCAGGUGUAGCGGUGAAAUGCGUAGAUAUCGGGAAGAACACCAGUGGCGAAGGCGGCUGCCUGGCCUGUAACUGACGCUGAGACGCGAAAGCGUGGGGAGCGAACCGG